AUGGAUGAAAUUUAUAAGAUCACUUCCACGGAAAGGGUCCAGCUGUUGGAGAAAGAACUGGCUGUGCGAUUGACUGAACUGAAGUCUGAGAUAGAAGAAAAGGAGGUUCUUCAGGGAACAGCUCAUCGAGCUUAUAGCUCUGUUCAAAUACCAAAGGACGUCUCUUACUUUAGAAGAGAGAGGGAACUGGCUCUAAAGAGAACUCUCCAGGUGGCCGAGUCAAAGCCCCUUGUUGUUCAAGCAGAUGUCCUGCAGAGGGAGCUAGAGAGCUGCCUGAGAAGAGAGUACACUGCUGAAAAUUUACCUUUGCUUCUGUUGCAGAAACAAGUUGCCUACAUUAUGCAGGAGUACAACGAUGCCCUUCAGAGAGCUGAAAGAUUGUCUGUUGCACGAGAAAACUUCCUUAUGGGAAAAAACAAUCCACCUAACUUAGUGACACAGGAAGACCUGACUAUCUACACAAAGUGGUUAGUGUGUCACCUACACUCACUCGAGGCUGUUCACCACUACCUGCAGGUACGUGAAACAGUAAUGUGACGAUGCAGUGCCCUCCCAGGAUGGUCAGCACAUUGUUUUCUCACAUCUGUCACCUCGUUUUGAACUGUCAGUUUCUAUAUUCCACCCGCCCCACAAAUGACAGGAAAAUAAUGGGUCACUAGCUUUUUUCCUUGAAAUCUUAUUUUUUGGAACUUUGUUCUAAUGAAAUCACUCCAUUAAUUUAGCUUUCUCAGAGAUGUCUCUGCUGUGCUAUUUCCUAUUCUCUCUGUAAGUUCUUGUGUCAUCAUCUUGUUCAGGAUUUAGCUCACCAAUGUAGAUCCACUUUUUUGUUCAGCAAUACCUAAUGAAAUUCUAAUGUAUGCCAGGUACAUAUCCUGGUCCAUGUUGGGAAGGUAUAGUCUUUACUGGAAAGUAACUGGGUCCCAGGAUGGUAGGGAAAUGGGCAAACAAAUUGUCAACUGAAAUACAAUGUGAUAAGAAAGAAUAGAAUAAUUAUAAGCACAGGGUAAAGAGUGUCACAGGGGAGAACCCCUAACCCAGGCUAGAGGUAUCAGAAGGGGUGAAGUGGUCACAUUUUCACUUUAGAAAGAUUAUUGUUUUGCCACCUAAAUCUUUCCCGACUUCUCCAUGCCUUACCUCAGUGAUACCACCAACCACAGAGUUACCCAAACCAGAAACCUGCCACAUCCUCACAUCAUCCCUUCAUCAGUCAGUCACGAUGGGGUCUACUUCUGAUUCCAUAGGAUAUGGGAUCUCUUCCCACUCAUGUGUUGUAGUAACAAUCUGCUCAUAAGUCUGGGUCCCCCACUGAACUGUGACCUCUUUGAGGUUGGUUCAUGUCUUGUUCAUCUUUGUGUCCCUAGCACCCCAUGCAGUGCCUUGUCCACUAGGGGUGCUUGAUCAAUGCAGACCUGCCCAGAGGUUAAGGUAGCUCAGAGCUGGUGACAGCGCCAGGUCUCCC
rnacentral:lncRNA from 1 species